rnacentral:rRNA from 1 species
CGGAGGGUGCAAGCGUUAUCCGGAUUCACUGGGUUUAAAGGGUGCGUAGGUGGGCAGGUAAGUCAGUGGUGAAAUCUCCGGGCUUAACUCGGAAACUGCCAUUGAUACUAUCUGUCUUGAAUACCGUGGAGGUCAGCGGAAUAUGUCAUGUAGCGGUGAAAUGCUUAGAUAUGACAUAGAACACCAAUUGCGAAGGCAGCUGGCUACACGAAUAUUGACACUGAUGCACGAAAGCGUGGGGAUCAAACAGGAUUAGAUACCCUGGUAGUCCACGCCCUAAACGAUGGAUACUCGACAUACGCGAUACACAGUGUGUGUCUGAGCGAAAGCAUUAAGUAUCCCACCUGGGAAGUACGAUCGCAAGAUUG